rnacentral:lncRNA from 1 species
GAAACUGGAGUUUUUUCACUUGCUUCAGGCGACUCCAACAUCUGCGUGUCAUUUGGCUGAGAAGUUGGAGUUUUUUCACUUGCUUCAGGCGACUCUAACAUCUGUGUGUCAUUUGGCUGAGAAAUUUGAGUUUUUUCGCUUGCUUCAGGUGACUCCAACAUCUGUGUGUCAUUUGGCUGAGAAAUUUGAGUUUUUUCGCUUGCUUCAGGUGACUCCAACAUCUGUGUGUCAUUUGGCUGAGAAGCUGUAGUUCCCAUGACCUCUUCAGCCCCACCAACUAAAGGAAUGGAGUUAUCUUCCCCUACAGGCUGAAAUGUUGCCGAAGUACCAUAAUCUGGUUCGACCGGUCCAUAGAA